GGGGGCACCAGAGGCACAAAACGGCUUGCUCUGGACGGGACCCUGUUACCAGGAAGUCGGGGGUGAUUUCGGGGGGUGCCAGCGAACCUGAAGGCCAACUGGCCAGGAGGUGGGAGCAGAGAAGGCGGUGGAUAAACUCAAGGAUAAGAAGGAACGGCUCUAGGACGAGCUCAAGGUCGGACCCAGAGAGACCACAUAGAUACCAUAGGACCCGCCAUAGAGACCCAUAGCUGGCCCAUAGCUGCCCCAUAGAUACCCCAUAGAUGACCCAUAGAGACCCCAUAGCUGACCCAUAGAGACCCCAUAGCUGGCCCCAUAGCUGACCCAUAGCUGACCCAUAGAUACCCCAUAGCGUACCCAUAGCUGACCCAUAGAUGCCCCAUAGCUGACCCAUAGCUGACCCAUAGAGACCCCAUAGCUGGCCCCAUAGCUGACCCAUAGCUGACCCAUAGAUACCCCAUAGCGUACCCAUAGCUGCCCCAUAGCUGACCCAUAGAUGCCCCAUAGCUGACCCAUAGCUGACCCAUAGCUGACCCAUAGCUGACCCAUAGAUACCCCAUAGCUGACCCAUAGAUACCCCAUAACUGCCCCAUAGUACCCCAUAACUGCCCCAUAGGACCCCAUAGCUGCCCCAUAGCUACCCCAUAGCUGCCCCAUAGCGGACCCAUAGAUACCCCAUAGCUGACCCAUAGAGACCCCAUAGCUGACCCAUAGAUACCCCAUAGCUGACCCAUAGCUGCCCCAUAGAUGCCCCAUAGCUGGCCCAUAGAUGCCCCAUAGAGACCCCAUAGCUGGCCCAUAGAUGACCCAUAGCUGGCCCAUAGAUGCCCCAUAGCUGACCCAUAGCUGACCCAUAGAGACCCCAUAGCUGACCCAUAGAGACCCCAUAGCUAGCCCAUAGAUACCCCAUAGCUGGCCCAUAGCUGCCCCAUAGCUGCCCCAUAGAUACCCCAUAGCUGCCCCAUAGAUGCCCCAUAGCUGGCCCAUAGAUGACCCAUAGCGGCCCCAUAGCUGACCCAUAGAGACCCCAUAGCUGACCCAUAGAGACCCCAUAGAUGCCCCAUAGAUGCCCCAUAGCUGACCCAUAGCUGGCCCAUAGAGACCCCAUAGCUGCCCCAUAGAUGACCCAUAGAUGGCCCAUAGCUGGCCCAUAGAUGACCCAUAGCGGCCCCAUAGCUGACCCAUAGAGACCCCAUAGCUGACCCAUAGAUGCCCCAUAGAGACCCCAUA
rnacentral:lncRNA from 1 species